GUAACACGUAGUCAACCUGCCCUGGAGACAUGGACAACCCCGGGAAACUGGGAUUAAUCCGUGAUAGGUCAUCCCAUCUGGAAGGAGAGAUGGCUUAAAGGGAUGCGCGGGCUUCUUCUGCGUAUUUGCUCCAGGAUGGGACUGCGUCCGAUCAGGCUGUUGGCGGGGUAAUGGCCCACCAAGCCAGUAACCGGUACGGGCCUUGAGAGAGGUGGCCCGGAGAUGGACACUGAGAGAAGGGUCCAGGUCCUACGGGGCGCAGCAGGCGCGAAACCUUCGCAAUGCGCGCAAGCGUGACGAGGUUAAUCCGAGUGAUUUCCGCUGAGGAGACCUUUUGUCUGCUGUAAAUAGGCAGGCGAAUAAGGGGAGGGCAAGCCUGGUGUCAGCCGCCGCGGUAAUACCAGCUCCUCGAGUGGUCGGGGCGAUUAUUGGGCCUAAAGCAUCCGUAGCCGGUUCCGUAGGUCCUCUGUUAAAUCCAACCGCCCAACGGUUGACCUGCAGAGGAUACCGCGAGACU
rnacentral:rRNA from 1 species